rnacentral:rRNA from 1 species
GACGAACGCUGGCGGCGUGCUUAACACAUGCAAGUCGAACGGAAAGGCCCUGCUUUUGUGGGGUGCUCGAGUGGCGAACGGGUGAGUAACACGUGAGUAACCUGCCCUUGACUUUGGGAUAACUUCAGGAAACUGGGGCUAAUACCGGAUAGGAGCUCCUGCUGCAUGGUGGGGGUUGGAAAGUUUAGGCGGAUGGGGAUGGACUCGCGGCUUAUCAGCUUGUUGGUGGGGGAGUGGCUUACCAAGGCUUUGACGGGUAGCCGGCCUGAGAGGGUGACCGGCCACAUUGGGACUGAGAGAGGGCCCAGACUCCUACGGGAGGCAGCAGGGGGGAAUAUGGCACAAUGGGCGGAAGCCUGAUGCAGCAACGCCGCGUGCGGGAUGACGGCCUUCGGGGUGUAAACCGCUUUCGCCUGUGACGAAGCGUGAGUGACGGUAAUGGGUAAAGAAGCACCGGCUAACUACGUG